AAAAAGAUGUGAUUAUUAGAAAUAACGUUAUUUAUGAGUGAUUCUCCUAUUAGGUCUACUUUCUUGAGAAGCAAAUUUUUCAAAGCCACCAAAGAUGAAAAUUUUUCUGUCUCUUUCUAUUUCUCUGUCUGGUAUAGUUUCUCUCUUUCUCUCAUCUGGUCCUCGUCUGGUUAAUUAAUCAAUGUUAAUUUUGUCCGUCAGAAUUUAGAUAAUAUCGUUGCUGAUUUAUUGGAAAUGUCUUUUAAAGUGAAUCUUCAACUUUGAAGGGAAAAGCAAGUCAAAAAUUUAUGGAGGGCAACAAAGAAAGAGAGAAUUGUCUCGCUCUAACAACCAAUAAAUACCUUGGUCUGGUUCUUUUGGUUUACCUGAUAAGUUAAAAAUGUGUUAAGUCUAAAUUUGGUUAUCAUAAACUCGGCUCGUUCGUUUAAAUAGCUGCGGUUACCGUACCAUACCAAAUAGGAUAAGAAACGUUUGUACCAAUUACCUAAGACAACUUUAAAAGUGUUUUUUGUUCAUCCUAAAAAGUGAGGUAACUUUAAGUAACCAAAGAAUUGCUGUUAUUAUGUUUAAGCCAUUCACCUGGAAAGCCUUUCUAUCUGUAAAGUAUUUAUUUGGAUUCGGAAUACUUAACUGUUAGGAAUUAAAGAAUUGAUAUAAACCUCUUUGGAUAGGAGCAGCUCGGUGUUAACUCUACAUAAAGGUUUAUGAAAUAUGGCUGACUUUUUUGGUUACAUGCGUAAUUAAUAAUGUGAUUAGUUAACCUGCAUAAAUUGAGUCACUUGUGUAGCAAAAUGGUAUUGAUACCUUGACCAAGAUGGAGGGCUGAUGGAUCGUUAAUUGGAACCAAAUAUUAGAUUUAUCUAAAUCAAGUUAUGGCUGAAUGGAAUCAAGUAUUUUUAAUUACAGACACUGGAAGCUAUGCUCAUUGGAAACUGCCAUUGGAAAUUUGAUCAACUAAUUUGUAUUUUACAGAAAACAAUUUGCUUGGAAGCAAACAUUUUCAUGUUCACAUAUAUCAUCGUAUAUUGAUUUUUCAAACCAUGAACGACUCAGUUGAUAUUCUGGAUUCUAACAGUGAAGCGAUACAAUUAAAUAAAAUAAAUCAUGAUCAUCAGGAUACAAUCAUCUUUUUACUGUAUUUUAAUAGAUGUAUCAACAUGGAUGGGUAAAAGCUGAUAUUUUAUACCACUUUGAACAACAACAGUAACGACAAAUCAAAAUGUAGAGAAAUAAUUUUUGAUAAAAAAGAUGAAAAUGAAAAUGAUAAAUGUUUUCAGGUCAACAAACAUUGAUGCCCAUUAUCAGCCGUAAAGGUUGGGUCAGUUUAUUGUUGAUUUCAUUCUGAGGUAAUAAAAAUAAACCCCAUAAUCAAUUAAUUUUUGCACUACUUGGCCUCAAACAAUAAACAAUAAAUAUAGUUCAUUUCAUCAGCCAAUCGUCUUCAAUGAGAAGCAUCAUGAUUAAAUUUAGCCUAAAUCACAA